rnacentral:rRNA from 1 species
AUUGAACGCUGGCGGCAUGCUCUACACAUGCAAGUCGAACGGUAACAGGCCUUCGGGUGCUGACGAGUGGCGAACGGGUGGGUAAUGCAUCGGAACGUACCCAGAGGUGGGGGAUAACGCAGCGAAAGCUGUGCUAAUACCGCAUGUGAUCUGAGGAUGAAAGCGGGGGACCGAGCAGCAAUGUUUGGCCUCGCGCCUUUGGAGCGGCCGAUGUCGGAUUAGCUAGUUGGUGGGGUCAAGGCCUACCAAGGCGACGAUCCGUAGCUGGUCUGAGAGGACGACCAGCCACACUGGGACUGAGACACGGCGCCGACUCCUACGGGAGGCAGCAGUGGGGAAUAUUGGACGAUGGGCGAAAGCCUGAUCCAGCAAUGCCGCGUGCGGGAAGAUGGCCUUCGGGUUGUGAACCGCGUUUGGCAGGAACGAAACGGUGUCCGCUAAUACCGGGCGCUAAUGACGGUACCUGCAGAAUGAGCACCGGCUAACUACGUG